rnacentral:rRNA from 1 species
UGGGACCUCAGGUCAGGCGGGGCUACCCGCUGAGUUUAA